AGCGAACGCUGGCGGCAGGCCUAACACAUGCAAGUCGAACGAACCUUUCGGGGUUAGUGGCGGACGGGUGAGUAACACGUGGGAACGUGCCUUUAGGUUCGGAAUAACUCAGGGAAACUUGUGCUAAUACCGAAUGUGCCCUUCGGGGGAAAGAUUUAUCGCCUUUAGAGCGGCCCGCGUCUGAUUAGCUAGUUGGUUGAGGUAAUGGCUCACCAAGGCGACGAUCAGUAGCUGGUCUGAGAGGAUGAUCAGCCACAUUGGGACUGGGACACGGCCCAAACUCCUACGGGAGGCAGCAGUGGGGAAUCUUGCGCAAUGGGCGAAAGCCUGACGCAGCCAUGCCGCGUGAAUGAUGGAGGUCUUAGGAUUGUAAAAUUCUUUCACCGGGGACGAUAAUGACGGUACCCGGAGAAGAAGCCCCGGCUAACUUCGU
rnacentral:rRNA from 1 species